rnacentral:lncRNA from 1 species
ACUCCCAGCUCCCUCUUCCGAACGGUGUGUGUCGGGAUAAUCCUGCAGACAGGGUAAGAUCGAUAUCCUACCCAGGAGGAAGUCUUGUCCAGAUACCACUCUCUUCCGAAAGCCAAUUCCGCCUCAGGAUGCUGCUACUUUCUGCAUACCUGAGCAUGCCCACAAGAGCUGCAAAAUUUGAAUACUCAUGUUUCGUCAGUAACCAGUGUCAGUCAUGACUAUUUUUUUAUUUUUUUUCUACUGAACACAGUUGGUAAUGAAACCUGUUUCUAGUACCGUGUCAACCGACGACCUGAGUGGAAUUAAGUUCGUUCGGAAAUGUAAAUCCUUGUCUUACUUAGUCAGGCUGCAUGUGCUUUUGCUUGCAGCCGAACUGAGUUUCGAAAUUUUGGUCUGGAUUUCGUUAUGGCGACGAUUACGAGGCCAUGUUGUAUGUACUUUUAGAUUCACUUGAAUCACACGUUCGACUUCACUGAUCUUUGUGUGGGCAUGUACUCGUUCACUAAAGCCAAAAUCCUGUGUGUGAAAUUCAGGCGAACACACAUGAUUGUACCGCGCAUUCAGCCCUGUACACUCCCAACGGAAAUGGAAUUAAACCUCUGUUUGUGUAUACCGACACUUGGUGCUCGUCUGGUCAGUUCGAUGCCAACGGAAAUAUGGUGCAAACGGGCGGAGACGCCGACGGGCUAAUGAAGGUAUCAAUCACUCUCACUCUUCUUCUCAAUCAGUCUCUUUAACCCAAAAGCUAGAGAAAACUACUUAACUGCCCUUCUAGAUGCAAUUCGAGUUUGGUAUUGAAAAUCUCACUCUCUCCGCGGUCAAUACAAUGAAUGAACAACAAUUCCAUGAGUGUUCGAGUUGUGUGAGUAAA